rnacentral:sRNA from 1 species
GUGACGCAUAUGACGCUUCAGGAGGUGGCCGACCUGCUAGAGAAGGAAGCUGCGCAGCUUCGCCGCUUCGGAUGAGGUCCGGCAGGGACGGGUCGUCAGCUCCAACGCGACGGUGAAUUGCACCUCUGGCCUGCAGGCCAGAGGCUCGGCCUA